UGGGCGCCCUGCCUCCCCCAGGUCCCGAUGCCCCAUGGCCUGGGGGCGUGUCCCACCCCGUCUGUUCAGCCCUCGGGGCACAGCACUGCCCGCACUGACGGCCCAGGCCCCCGGCCGACCCGCGCUUUCUCCGGCCCAUACGCGGCAUGCCUUUGAGGGACACUUGCUCCUCUGGUUGGAAGCAGACCCUGCGUUUCCUUCCACGGCCCCCGCCACAGCUGCGCCACUGAGACGAAUACCAGGCAGGGUGCUGGCUCGGGCCGCUGCUGGGGACCUGGGGCGGAUGUGGCCUCGGGGGCCUGUCUGAGGCCCCAGACACGAGGCCAGUUCAGGAGGGUCCAGCUGUGGUGCGUGAGGCCCCAGACUGGUGGAGAGCUGGUGUCCACGUCGCCUCCAGUGGGGGGAGGACGGGCGUGGCAGUGGCCUGGGGAGCACCGGCAGCCAGAAGCCAUGAGCCGAGGGGCCCAGGGCAGGGAAGGGCUCCUGUGGCCACCGUUGGCCAGAGGCGGCAGUGCAGAUUCUCAGCAAGUCCCCGUGGGAGAGUCGUCUGCAGGCCCCUGGCCCUGUGCUGGGGACCCAGGGGACCCUGCCACACAAGGUCUGUCUUCACAGGACCAGAGUGGCUGGAUCUCGGGGGCGUGGUCUUUCCUGCCCCCCGCCCUGGCGGAGCGUCAGGGAGCCUCCCUCGUGCUGCACCCACUUUAGCGUGCCCCUGCCCUCAGAACCCGCCUCCUUUCGCUCCUUUCUGGCCUGGGUCUCCCGCCUCCACCUCCACCCCGCGGUCACCUAACAUCCCGACUCACCUGCGUCUUCAGCAGCUCAGAAGCCCAGAUCCUGCCACCUGGAGGCUGAAGCCAGGGGGAGGUGGGGAGAAGCCAGAGGCCAGGUGGGGUCCUGCUCCCUCCCCAGCGGGGGUGCCGCGUGGCCUUAAGAAGCUGCAACUAGACAGCUUAGGGAGGGGACACCACCGGACAGGUUUGAUUUUUAAGUGCAUGGGCUCAGGGUUAUAUAAGCUGGCCGGUGUGUUUACUAAGUCAUGGGGAAGCUCGGAGAGGAGGGGGAGGGACAGAGACAGAGACAGACAGACAGAAGGAGAGACACACAGAGACAGAGCCCGGGAGGGAGAAGCCGCAGGGCUGGUCCGGCACAGACAGGCACGGGGCCGCCCUGGCCCCCCGCAAGGGUCAUCGUCCACUAAAGGUGUGAGGUCGCCUGCGGACCCCCAGAGGCCUGCCUGCGGGGCCCCUGACUCCUGGGGCAGCUCCUCACGGGAGAGUCGGUCCGAGCAGACGGGGCCGAGGGUGUGCCUGGAGGCGGGUGAUUCCUGGGCCCCCCCCCACCUGAGGUUGGGGGAAGACUCAGGGGCCAUAGGCACCAUGGCUGGUGCUGCACUCCCCCCUCCCUGCAGGCUGGGCCGCCCUCCCCGACGAAGGUGCUGGGUGUCCUGGGGGCUGAGGCGCAGCAAGGGGCCUGUGAUAAAGGAGGCCAGCUCUGGGUCAGCGCCCUUUCCGGGCUGGGAGGGACGGUCGCUCUCUGGCAGCGUGAGGGGCCAUGACCUGCUAGGGGAUGGGGCUUGGUCACCACCAGGAAGCAAACGAUGAGCCGAAGUGAAUCAGCCUCUGUGGGUUCUCCUGGCACCGUUGCCCGCCUGGGUGGCGAGAGUGUGACCGUUAAGUCAGUCGUUCCUUCCUCCAGCUCAAGGCCACUGUCACUUGCCAAGUCAGCGGCCACUUCAAGGCAUCCAAGGUUUUGAGGGGUGAGGAUGCACAAGGGGGGCCGUGAGCAGAGCUGCCAGGAGGGCGACACAGGCCACGUGCCCACUGGCCCCGACUGACCAGGCAGGUGUCAUCAGGCACUCGAUUAAUUGAACUAAUUAGCCAAAUCGGAGUCAGAUUCAGGCCUGAUUUUCCAAGCCGGCCUGUGUUUUUCUGGGCCGUGUGUUUCGGUUUCUCUUCUCCUCACGCAGGCACCAGGUGGUGAAACACCACACCUCGCUCAUUUGCGGGUGCGUCGUCUGUCUGAGGCUGUGCUGUCGUCCAGCACAGUCUGGCCGAAGAGUGUGUAGGUUUUACCUGUAACUGCAGAGUUGGCAGGAGACGUCCCUUCCAGCAAAGUUCAGGUGCAGUUCGUUCUGGACGUCUUUUCCAAGAAGCAAAGCCUCUGGCGUCUAAGAUGUGCAGCACCGGCUCUGCUGGCAGCAGAGGCGCAGAAGGCUUUUGGACUUGACGGAACUAAGACUUUGAAUCGUGCAUCAGUACCUGAACCGGGUCAGGACCACUUAGGACCAGACAGACCCGUGUCUUCUCCCCCCGGAGGCCGCGCGCGGGCAGCGGAGAUGCAGACGAGACCCGGAUAACAGUGGCCUCCAUCUGUUGUCAGCGGUCAGGUGCAGGACAAGAAGCACAGCUACAGAAACAGGAGGAAAAGGCUAAUCACGGGAGCAAACUACAAGCUGGUUUUUGCGUCCAGAGAGCAGCCACUGGGGCCAGAGCUGGAAGCUCUCUGGACGCAGGAGGAGGGCAGAUUCCCUCUGACGGUUGGCAGUGUGGGUGCUUUGAUGAUGUCAUCGGGCCCUGGCGACCUCGGGCCUCGGCAACUUCGGGCCAUGGUCUGGGGGCUGCUGUGGUGGCCUCCCUGGGGCCCGCAUCUCGCGGUCCUGCUUCGGCAUGUGGAGAGGGUGGUUUUAGUUCCUCGUGCUUCCAAGUAGCAAAAUGGAAGGAAACCUGGAAACGUUACUUGGAGAGCUGGGGCCAGAUAUUUGGGGAAACUAGGAGAAUGUAGGGUCCCGCCCAGCUUACAGGGCGGUAAGACAGCCUCGAGGGAGGCAGGCAGGACCGAGCCUGGCACCGGGCACACGGGCGCUUCGGCGGAGACCAGUUCCUCCCCACAGCGGUCCCGUUUUCACCGAGGAGGAUCGUUGACCUGGGUCUGGUCAUCCACGUAAGUGGAACAAAAAUCAAGAUUUUUGCACAUUCCGAUGGUGACAGAAGCUUAGGUCAUACCUGGGGACUUUAUAAAGUCAUGCUUGGUCCCUAAAACUGUCUGAUAAUAAGAAAUCUCAGAUUCGAGAUUACAGGGAGAACAAAUUUCUACUUCACUUCUGUAAGCACCUAUAUUGCCAUGACCUUAAAAAUACUCAGUAAGUUUCUGAAUCCUGGGCUGGGGACCAAGAGGGCAGAGAAAGACAAAUGUUUCAUGUCUAGUUACAUAAAAAUGUGCGUUACCAAAUUACUGUGAGUUCUUUCAGCUUAAAACAAAAAAAGAGGAGCGGGAUUCUGCAGCUCUGGAAACCAAAAUGCUGAAGCCCCAGCACUGCGUCAAAGAAAAAGUUAUGAAAAUUAUAAUCUUCCUUAUUGGUUCUCUCAAUGCCCGGUAAUUCAUUCUUGUUUGGCUCGAUUUGGGGUUGGCGGUUUUAUGAAUCAGUCAUCUCUCCUUUAGAGCUUUAGGAAUUCCUCCCAAGACUCAUGGGAUGCCCAGGAAGUCCGAACCCGGUUUCUUGGAGCAGCUGUCAGAGCUCGGCCCGGGAUCCUUGCAGAUGAACGGCUUUUUCCUACAGGUGACUGUAAACGCUUUCAGAGAAGAAUCUAGAACAAAACAUGACCUGCGGGCCACGAAAGCUGUGAAAAUAGCCGUGGCGGAAGAUCUAGGGAGAGUUCACCCACAGAAAAUGAUGCCAUCGGCAAGUCAGUUGGGUUAGUUCCGCGACGUGCACGGUUUUAAUAUAACCAUUGGAAGGGUGACUCAUUAUACGGACAGUAAGGACACUGACAGUUUUGAGGGAUUUUGUGCCGUUUUGGGUGUUAGCAACACACACCAUAACAUAUUGACGGAGGAAGGUGAGUCUCACUCGUAUUCAACCACGUUUUCUGCGUGAUUCAACCGCUGAUUUUGCCUCCUCGCCUGGAUGAGAUCUUCUGAGAUCUUCCAGGGACCCAAGGGUGGAGGAAGUGGCCAGGAGCAGAGGGUCGGACCUGCGGCCGCACCCCAGACCACCCGAGGGGGGCCGGGGCUGGGGUUGGGUCAAUCGCCAGCGGCCAGUGAUUUAAUCAAACAGCCUGUGCGAUGAAGCGUCCAUAAGACCCCGGGAUGGGGCCUGGAGAGCCACCGGGCUGGUGAACAGGUGACGCGGGGAGAGGCGCCUAGAGACACGGAAGCCCCUCGUCCUUUUAGGAUAAACCCGUGAUCUGCUGAGCGAGUGUUUCUCAGGACUGCUCUAGAAAAUUCAUCGAGUCCACGAAGGGGUCCUGGGAACCCCCAAUCUAUAGCCAGUCAGUCAGGAGCCCAGGUGACAGUGUGGACUUGGGGCUGGCAUCCGGGGUGGGGGUGGCGUGGGGGGCAGUCCUGUGGGACUGAGCCCUGAACCUGGGGAGGUGGAGUCAGAACUGAGCUGGAGGAGUUCCCGUCGUGGCGCAGUGGUUAACGAAUCCGACUAGGAACCAUGAGGUUGCGGGUUCGGUCCCUGCCCUUGCUCAGUGGGUUAACGAUCCGGCGUUGCCGUGAGCUGUGGUGUAGGUUGCAGACGCGGCUCGGAUCCUGCGUUGCUGUGGCUCUGGCGCAGGCUGGCAGCUACAGCUCCGAUUAGACCCCUAGCCUGGGAACCUCCAUAUGCCGCGGGAAUAGCCCUAGAAAAGGCAAAAAGACAAAAAAAAAAAA
ensembl:lncRNA